ACUACAUUUCUUCCUGGCGGAGAGCUACAAAGCGGAGAGCGGGGCUAUAAAAGGCCGCGUGACGUUCGUCUCGGCGGAACUUCUCGCAGGGACGUGCGCUGGAGCUCGCGGCCGCGUGUCUGCGAUAAGUUCCCACCACCACCUCCCGCCCCCACGGCGCGACUACCCGCCUGGAUGUCGACGUCCGCUGGAAGGGAGUGAGUCAUCGGUGGUCGCACUAAUUGUACAUAUCGCUGUAAAUAAUAUAUUGCCCAUUGUACAUAGCCAUAGUCAUGAGAUUAAACGGAUACAAUGUCGAAUUGUGCAGUCCGUCGUAACUUGUCGCUGAGCGGCCGCCAUCUUGGUAGGCUUAGCGAAGUUAAAAUAUGGCGUCACUAGGCUUACGUGUACACUGCGCACUGACUUCAUGUCGCCACAUACCUAGCCGAGAUACUCUGCAUUACAGUCCAUUACUUCAGAUUUUCACUAAUACGGCCUUUCUUUUGCUUUCCACAAAUAUGAUGAUGACUCGCGUUGUUGUGACCAUUUACUCGAUUUCUUUUGUCUGUAGGCGACCUUGUUGAUGAACGGUUCCCGAAGUCGUCGCUACGAUUUGAAGAAUUACGUGUUUUAUUUGCACUAGAUAUCCCAAGCCGACGAGAAGUUCUAGCGCUCUUUUGUGUUAAAAGCGACUUGCGUUUCAGGCCGCGAGUGACAACCAAGAAAUUUCUGCAAUACUUAAGCAAGUCAAGGAUCGUAUGGCAUGGAUGAUAGUGCUGCGUCGCCGUCGACACCAGUCAUCAAUUUCACUUUCCAGCUCCAUUGGGUUUGCCUGCUCUUUUUCCUUUGUGCACUAUUCAUGGCAUGGCUUUCACUAGUUGAUCACAAUGAAAGGAUUGCUAGAGGGAAUGAAUUGACACCUGUGGUACGAGGCUAGGCUUGUAGCUAAAUCGUUUGUGUUGUAACAGUUGAUUAUAUUAAAUACAGUAGUAACUCGUGCGAAAUUUUACGUAAUUGCCAUUGCCACUUCAUAGGCGGUUAGGGCACAUCCUUCAUUCGAAAAAUAUUGCAUCUUGCUUCUGACCUUUUUCUCCAUUUCUAUAGCACCACCAAGUCUUGUUGAAAGAGAAGUCUCCACAGUACUCCAGAUUGACAGUUGGAAGUAUUGCAAAGGUUGUUUUGGGGAAACUGCUAAAAGCUGCCCUAAAUGGGAGUCAAGAAAGCUUUGAUCAAGGAAAGAGUUCUGUCUCAAGCUUCAAAAGACAAAAGGAAAGCAAUACUGAAGUACCCGAUUGAAGUUCAAAGCAUAAGUGAAGUAUGGCAAGUUCAAAAUCACAUGAGGUACAAGCUGUAAGUCUUUCUUUUGAAGAGUUGUUCAUUCAAGAUCUGUAUGCCAGUUACGUUGUAACGUGGAGGCAUGCUGUUUAGUGCAAAUUCUAGCUAUCAAGUAUACAGUGCCCAAUUUUCAAGAGUUGCAUUCAAGGUACAAGUUUUCAUGUUAAUGCUUCAAGCUGUCUAGUGUUGCCGGAUUCAAUUUGAGUGGUCAACGUUUCAAGUAAUGUGCAUAUUGCUGCAUUUUCAAGUACAAGCCGGUGUAUCCAAGCAUCAAAAUAUGUUGUGCAAGUUCUCAAGAAAUUUCUAGAAAUCUUCACAUGCAAGCAGUAAGGCAAAUUCCAUAUGCUUUCUGAAGUUGGGGAGGGGAGAAGACCAAGAAAAGUAUGUCAUGUCAAGCAGUAUGACUUUGCAAGAGGGGAGGGGCAACUUUCUCAAAGACAUCUGUUUAUGCAUACAGACCAGGAGAGCAAGGCAAAGUAGGUUGUGCCAGAAGGAAGAUUGACCUCGAAGGAAUUAACCGGAUAGCAAGUUUCGCCGUGCAUUGGAACUGGUUUGCUUUCCAUCUUCUCAACUAGGCUAGCUAACUUCGGUGCUGCUUUAGAGUGAAUGUUCAUGUGCAGUGCUUUAGUUGCAGCACAUAGUAGGCACGAAAUUGAAGCCAGUUUGAGGCUCAGGCAUGUUUGUUUUGCAGGUAUACACGGUCGAGGCCAGACAAGAUUUUAAGUGUCUGAAUGACCUGUAAUGAAAACAAGGGAUCGUUCAUUAAGUAGACUGCAGCACAAUGGUUACUCUGGCGUGUAGCUCCCACAGGUAUUCGUGAGUUCCUGUUGCAUUUGUUGUUUCCCAUGAAAUUGUCCUCCUUCAGUUAACCAUUUCAUUUGCAUUGCAUUUUUAAUUGUCCACUUGUCUAUAGCCGUUGUAUUAUUGCUCGCAAAAAAACAAACUUUGUGGCACUGCAUUUUUGCAAGUCCCCCUCGAAUCUUUUUCUCUAGCGCAUGUCCGGGGGGAGGGGGCGUGUUGUAUGCUUUGCUUUUGAGUCCCAUUGCAGCUAACUAGGUCCUGGAUGACAUAGACCUUCCUAGUGACUACACCAACACUGCUACGACACUCUCCUCCUCACACGGCUCACCACGUGCCGGAGUCCCCUGCAUUUGCUUUCUUCCGUAUUCUGCCUGGUGCGCCGUGGUCUCGUUUUGUCCUUGGCUGCACGGAAAUCCUCUUGUAAGCCACGUGUGAAUGGGGUUUGGUUCUUCCUAUGAAAUUGCACGGACUGUUGCCUAACUGCAAUUAGCGGCAAGUUGCUUUGCUCGUCUUUCAGACUGGGUAUUGCAAGGCUUUUGUAAUGCUUAAGAUGGUAGAGUGGAUUGGGUGGGGUAGAGUAAUUGUGCAGCUAUCGCAAGUUCACAGUAUCGCCUGCAUUUGAGCACUUGGAUGCAACCUGCUGUAAGCAUUGCAUGUAAUUACUUCGCAUUGGUCGUCUUUAGAGCAUUUUAGAUUGGUUGGGGUGGGGGCAAUUGUGAUGAGUGUUUUUGCAGGAACUAGGUGUUCAUUGGCAUAAAGGUCUGGAGCAAACGCUGCAACUGUGAGCAGUCCUCAUUACGCCGGGUAAGGGGUUUUUGAGGGAGGGUCAUGGCAUAUUGUGCAGUGCCGGCGUAGCCAGGAUCUGGAAGUAUCGUAAGCAUUUCUUUUAUAGGGGAAGAGUGGGGGGCGCUAUGGAAUAUUGGAGUUUUUGCAGUGCUGACCCAAGUUUCGGAGCUGGAACAAGGAAGCUGUCGUAAGCAUUUUUUUUUGUAACUGGUAGGGGGGUCUGGUUGUUGCAAAAGUUUGUGCACAGUGCCAACAAGUUUCAUACUUUGGAUUUGAGAUGAGAGCAUUCGUAAGCAUCUUUUCUUGUUUAGGGUGGGGAGGGGGUAAUUUUCACAUUUUUUUUUUUUUGUCCAAUGAGCCCUACAGUUCGGUGCUAGCGGCAGUGCCUGUCUGCAGAAGAGGACCAAAUGUAAGCAUAGUGGAUGAAACUGCUAAUGGGAUGGGGAUUGACCUGUGCUGUGGAGUUUUUGAGCAUGAGUCACAGGUGCCACCCUGUGUAGUAUUGGACCGCGAGUGGCUUUGUGUGGGUGGGGGGGCGUGCAUGAGUCCUUGCAGUUUCGUGCCGACACGUAGCUUCCUCGUGUGCUUCACUGGCUGGCAAAGAAAGCUGGACACGGUUCCCUCCCGGUGUGCUGGGCUCUCUCCGCCGAUAUUGGUGCAGGGAGUACUGCUGUAGUCUUUCCUCCUGUGGUUUUGGGCCUACCGCUUAUGUUGCCGUUGGAAUGCGUCUAGGCAAGGAGUCGAGGGGAAACAAAAAGAGAGCUCCUGUUCCGGUGUCCUGGCCCUAAAGCCCGCCGACCGCGAAGACCCCCCCAUUAUCGGCUACUGGGCUGCUAAAGGCCGUUCUACCCCGCCUGCAGAGUGUGUCCGGGCAUGCCGGCCUUCGAGGACACAGUGCUGUGCACGUGAUUGCAGGUUUGCUCAGAGGCUUUCAUCUCUGCAGUCUCUCUAAAUGUGGGGCUGUGUUGUUUUUUUUGUAGGGUUGUAGCUAGCUUUUAGCACCUAGCCAAUCUUGUGGUUUAUUGCUUAAGGUUAGUCAGGCAGCGUUGCGUAACGGUGUGUGGGUAGUGGGCGUUUUCUUGCAGCUCCUGGCGCGAGUGUGUGCAAUGCCAAUGCGUGGGUCGCUCCGGGCGUGGCUGUGUUGUGUGCCGCUAUGAUGCCGAGGCAUCGAGCGUGUGCCGCGAUGAUGCCGUAAAGCAAGGCGUCGAGCGAGGGUAUCCUUCGGUGCGUCCGCCUCUUCAUCGGGGCCGUGGUUCCCGUGCUUUUCCCGGUGUAGUGUUCAAGGACCGCCAGCGACGCGUCUUGUGCGAGUUGAGCGUGUGAGGCGUGCCAGGGUCGUCGUCGGAGGAUGCUUGUCGUUCUCCCCACGGAGUCAAGAUGGUUUCCCUUUCCACGAGUUCCAUUGCCAGCCUAGUCCGACCGAGAUGUCAUCGCGGCUUCGUUACCUAGCUCUUCCAACAUGUCAACAUCUACAAUGCCUACCUAGCCCAAUCUAAGUGUCUCCACUGAUAUCCCCAGCUAUUGAAAUUGCAUCUUGCACUUCAUAUUGUUGCGCUGUAAAGAGGCUGAUCAAGCAAGAAAUGGACUUUCCUGAAUAGCAAAGUGAUGCUUGGCUCUGUAUCUGUAUUCAUACAAUGAAUACAGAUUAAGCUCAAAGGAGAACAUGUUGCCAAUUCAUUGUAAGGAGUGUUCUAGCUUUAUACCAAGCUGUUCUGACCAAUAUUUCCUGUAGGUCUAAUUUAAUGCAAGAGCAGAUAUGUACUGCUUAUUCCAGUUGCAUAAGCUGUACGGCUUUUGUAAUAAGGCCACAGUUCCAUUGUAUUGUGAUCCUGCUCACAAUUAAUUCUAUUUAUACUCAACGCACUUGUGCAAAUGUUGGAAUUGUAGUGCAAGUACGAGACUUGAAAACAUCUUUUUGUUGCAAACAUUUCUUAGGCAAUCUUCAUGUGCUGUCUGAAUGUUCAUAACGGCAGUUGUUCAUCAAUACAAACAUAUUCGAAACUUCUACGAUUACAGUCUUAAAUGAAAGCAGCCCUGUUAAUUCCCACAUGUUUUCUUUGCUUUUCCAAAGUGCAACAGAUUUAUUAAUCAAAGAAAUGCUUCUAGGAAAAUUGCAACCCUAGUCCCUACUGAUGCAAUGUGCCAUAGAUUGCAUCAAUUCAACUUUGCAAACAUGUUCAUGUGCUUUAAAUGUUCCCAUUCAUGCCUCUCCUAUUAGUCUAGUCCAAAACAGCCUCUAUAAUUUACCUUUGCUUUGUUGGCUUGUGAUGCAAUGUGCCAUAGAUUACAUGUCCAAACUUCAUUGAAAAGCAAGUUUGCUUGCAUGCCCAUGCGGCAAAAUGCAUAACAUGCAUUAGCUAACAUUCAACAUUCAUGAAAGACAGCAAGACACCUUGAUCAUAGCUUACUGAUAAGCUGCUUAGAGCACCAGUUCCUCUAAUCUGCCUUAAAUAUGAAGUGCAGAAGAUUUGGCGAUAAUUAGCAAGCAUUAAUGCAGAUUUCAUAACACCUGUAUAAGCAUACUAGUUUCCUAACCAUUGCAUUGCCUGGAUGUGUUGGAUAUGAUGAUAGUGUGCAGAAUGUCGUUGAUAUGUUGGCUGAAAAGAUUCUCUCACAGGCUGGAUGUGGUUUAGAUGCCACUGCAGGCAAUGUGGUACAGUGUAUAGACUUGCAGCCUUGGGCUACAAAUAUGUGUACCACUUUCAAUGAAUGGUAUCAUAUUUUAUCACGUCUAAAGUAAACCUGACCUUGUGCAUAGGCAAUAAGCAGUUCCACAGUAGCUUGUGUUUCAAAUACUUGAAAAAACUUGUUCGCUGCAGUAAAUAAAUGUUCGUGCAGAGUUUCCCACAACAGCUGCUUUGUUGGUCAGAAGCAUGGCCAAGCUUUAUACAUUCUGAGAAAGAAAAGCAUUUAAGUAUCUGCCUAUAACUGUCGUUCCCUAAAUUUUUCAAUUUAUGGAAUAAGAAUACAUUAGGACUAAGAGGUCCAACAUCUCAAUGAUUGCUUUUGCCAUUUUUCAUCCAAAGCUUUCCACUACAGAGCAUUGUUUUGCAAAUUAUGCCGUAUGGCUAGUCUUUCAUCGUGAAUAUAUGCUUGUGAAGACUGCCCAGAGCUACUUAGUCGGUCCGAAGCAUGACAAAGUUUUAAACAAAUAUUGUGUGUUCUGGAAAGCAAGCGUUUCAGUAUCUGUCCCCUAGAUUUUUGAUUUUAUGGAAUAAGAAUAUAUUAGCACUAAGAAGUCCAACAUCUCAAUGAUUGCUUUUGCCAUUUUUCAUCCAAAGCUUUCCUCUGCAGAGCAUUGUUUUGCGAAUUAUGCACUGUGCCGUAUGGCUGGUCUUUAACUGUAAAUAUAUGCUUGUGAAGACUGUCCGGAGCUACUUUGUCGGUCUGAAGCAAUACCAAGUUUUAUACAAAUAUUGUGUGUUCUGGAAAACAAGUAUUUAGUAUCUGUCCCUUCGAUUUUUCAUUUUAUGGAAUAAGCAUAUAUUAGCACUAAGAAGUCCAACAUCUCAAUGAUUGCUUUUGCCAUUUUUCAUCUAAAGCUUUACUAUGCAGAGCAUUGUAUUGCAAAUUAUGCACUACGCCGUAUGGCUAGUCUUUCAUCGUAAAUAUAUGCUCACGAAGACUUCCCAGAGAUAAACGUUGCUGUAAAUAAAGGGUCAAUAAAAUGGAUUCCACAAGAAGCCUAUCAAAAACAAGAAAAAAAGCCUAUGAAGAAAAGAAAAAGGAUUGGUAAAUAUCUGAAAGGCUAGUGGAAGAAAAACCAUUGAGUGGUGUGGAAUCUGGGGCAGGUGCCAGGGGAGAAGGGAGCCUGCCAGAAAAAACGAAAGUGCUCUAUUCGCAGCAACGUUUGUAGCCUUUGGUUAUGUAAAGUCUUAAGCAGAAUGAAAUAAAGAAAUCUUUAAAACCAAUUGCACACAAAGUUUCCAGAGUGUUAUUUCAGGCCAGGCAGCAUUUGCCCCCUAGACGUUCUUUGCUCAGCCACUGCCCUGUGCAGUAGAUGGUGCAAGGGCGUGUUGGGAUUGCUGGCGUAAUCCAUGAACCCCUCGACACACUCACUUUUAGAGAAGGGCUCAUGGAUUGACGCCUUGGAUAGAACCACCUUUUUCUUGUAGUGUGAGCCAUGGAGAUACUACAUAGAAGUUUACUGGAGAUCCUGUGGUUUGAAUGGUAUAGUAUGCAUUUUAUCUUUUGGUUAGCGAGGUGCAUGUUAGAUAUGCCGAUGACUUUUAGAAUGCAAGUGGCAGGUGUUCCAACAAAAAAAACCUUGUAGUAUCUCUGCGAAAAUGCAAAGAUGUUUUUAACUAUUCAUGCUAUUGAACUAUUCAUUCACCUUGCUCUAGGUACACAAUGAUUCACCGGAAAACAUCCUACAGCAUCAACUUGAAAAUGGAUCAACUUGAGUGUGCUGAUCGUGUUGCGUAUGAAUACUGAAUGAAAAUAUAUUGGGUAGAGGCACACGAUAAUUCACUGUAAAAUGUACAUUCUACAGGAUCAAUGUGGGGGCAAUAGUGUUGCAUAUAAAUACUGAGUGAAAGUGUAUUCGCAUAGGAGGUGAGAGAGUUGCAUCCAGUGCGAUAUGGCUGUGGUACCUUGAGUGCAGAUAAGCUUCAUACUGCUGGGAAACCUUUGUUUCACAGUAUGAAACUUCUUUGCAGGAACAGCUACAUAUUAUGUUGAUACAAACUGGAAUAAACGAACUGAAACCUGUGGUGCGAGCCUAGAGAUACUGCAAGAUGAAAGAAAUGGGACAUGUAGUUAAAUACUUUGCGAUUUGGGUGCACGUGAUCGAUGAAAAGCCCAGCUUCAUUCCCCCAGAUUCUAGCUUUUCUGGCAAUGCUCCAUUUGCUUUCUUGCUAUGCAGUCUGCAAACUGCUUGCUCAUUGCAAUCGUAAAGAAGCUCCAAUGGUUGCUAAAUGUGCACGAUGAUUAGUUUUUCAUUUGAAAAGGUGUACAGACAGCUGUCAUGCUGUGGGAUAAAGAUGAGUUCGUCUGUUUGCCAUUCUGCUGUUGUCCAAACCAUGACCUUAAUUGAAUCUGUGAGUUCUGUGGUGGUGUUGCCUGGCACCCAAAGGAAGUUUAGUUUUUCUGGAGAUUUCCGGUGUAUCACUGCAAUGUCCAGAAGAUCUCUGCAUCUUCAGCAUAGUUAAACCAAUCUCUUGUUCUUGCCUCGAGUUUUGUAUGAUGUUAAACUUGGUGAGAGGUGAAGGUGGCUCUGGUUUCAUGUUACAAAGGCAUUGGAGUGGUUCACAUGCUUCCUUGACUGUGACUGGCUUAAAUGUUGAGAGUAUGGCCACAAGCCUCCUAAAACCUGCUUUGAGCCCAGCUCUAAAAUCAAAAUACUGACAAAAAAAUGGCAGGUCUUGUAUUUUUUUGGAUUUGGACUCCUACAGCAUUCUUGCGAGUGCCACAGGGGCCCUCCUUGAAAUAUGUCUCAAAGAAAAAUAAGGUUUUUGACAACAAAAACCUAUUAUUGAAAUGUGGUGCUACAUCAAUGUGAGAAUGGUCAUUGGCCUACUUGGCUUUCAUUGUAGGAUGGCCUCUUGCAUGCAGCCCCAAUUUGUCCUGUCCCGCUUCUGUUUUAUACCUGCAAAUUUUCCGUUCCAUCGCGCUACCUGGGACCUGCCGUCCUUUGCUUCAUUUCUCGACUUCGUGUUCUGUCCGGCCUCUAACCAUCAGUUAUCCAUCCUAUGCAUUGUGUGACCUGAUCUAUUGUAUGCUUUUCUCUUCAUGUGGCCACUAUGUGGCCUGCCCUUGCUCGUUCUCUGGCCCAUUCUGCAGUCUCUGAUCUCUUGGUUGCGCAUAUCAAUUUCAGUUCCAUCACUUUCUGUGCAGACCUUGAAAAUUCAUCUUGCAUUUCCUUGCUAAGUUAUAUUACAGAUACUUAGCUUAUGGUGAAUAAACAAUUACCUGCUGUUGCGAUGUUGACUGCAUUACCAGAAAACAUCAAAAACAUUGAAGAGGGUGGUACAGUUUAAAGUAGCUGCAAUUUUUACUCUUGUCUAGUGCGUGCCCAGUUUUCAUGUGUUUAGACUAAAUGCACUUAAUGUAUUGCUCCAUAAACUGAGGAUAAGGACACAUUCCUAUCCCAACACUUCCUUCUGUGACCCAAGUUUUGCAGGCUACAAGAUCAUGCCUAGUUUAAAGGGACACUAAAGGCAAAUCAAAAUAUGAGUGAAAGGUCAAUGUCAGUGUUGUUGUCAAUAGCAGUGCUCUAGUAAUCAAGAAAUUCAGGUAGGGCACUAUAUGUGCCACCAGUAGGACGUUUUAUGAGCCCAAUGACGUCCAGAGUUUGUUUCAUUCAUGGAAAAAAGAACUUGACGGUACAGUGGAGAAUGGCGUGGCUUGUGCACAAGUUCCGUUUUCGCAGGGCUGCGCUCCGCUCGCGUCUCAGUGGUAGUUUCAUUAUCGCAUACUGCUGCGUGUGCCUUGCACGCUCAUGGAAGUUGCUGUAACGAAAAGUUUGGCAAAAUGCUGUGUCCAUGUUAUGUGUAAUGUGCCCGCAGAAACCACAGCGUUGGCUGUCUGGCAGUAAAGGCGGCCAACGUUGGGCAAGAUUGGGCUGUAUUUGUAUGUGCAAUAGCCUAAAACAGCGUAUUCGUUUGCAUAACAUGUAUUUGUUGUAUUUGUAUUUUCGAAGCAAUGUAUUCUACCCCGUUUGGUAUUGUUGCCUGCAUUUUUUCCAUAAUAUGUUGAAUUUCCACCCUGCUAAAAUCCCCUAUGGGGAUUGCAGUAUCUGUAAAUAAAUAAUAAAUAAGGCUAAUGCUACGUCAGGAGGCCUUUUCAGGUGCGCAAUUCGAAGUGCGCUAACGCUGUGCGGACCACUAAAACGUGAUUUUCAUUCAAAAUAAGCAUUUCAUUGGCACGAAACAAGAACCACAGGGUUUCUGGAACGCUAUUUCAACAAUCAACAUUGACCAUUUGCCUUUAGUGUCCCUUUAACUUUGGUUUAGCAUAAGAAAUCUUGGCUCAAAAAUAUCAUGGUUACCAGCUUGAUGUACUUUGUAUGGUAUUUGAUAUGGCUAGCUGUUAUGGAUAUAAAAGCAUUGUAAGUUGAAAAAAGUGCUGGAAAUCGGAAUAUAUAAUUUGCACAUUUCCGUAGUUAGUGGAUGUGAUAAAUGCCAGAUAUGCAAAUGUCUAAAGGUGGCUAGGUGGGAAACGUACCGAAGUAAUAGUCGGGAGCCGACAAAAAAUUCGGAGGGCUCACAUCAGUAAAAGUUUAAUCGGUAAAUCUGUGAGAGAAAGCUUGAGUACAUCAGAACUUGAUCUCAUUGAGGUGCGGUAUGGUACGUGAAUAUUUACGAAAUGUCAAGCUGAUAAAUAAAUGGUUACAAAAAUUGAAAACAAAAAAGUAUGUGUAAGGUGGGGACAAGUGUAAUGUGGUAUAAAUUUCCAGCACAAGUGGUAGUGAAAACAGUAGCAUUGCGAUUACAAAUAGUUGCAGCGAUAACGGUAAUGAAAUGUCUUGGUGGUAGAAUAAGUGGGCAUACUUGUAAUGUGUCUGUGUGUGUGUUUUAUAAAAAAACAAAUUCUGGGAUAGGCAAGGAAUCCAGGCCUAUUUUCAUGUCCACUGCAGGGAGGACUGUCCCAGUUAUCUCCAGUUUACACCAUCUUGUGUGAACAAACUCCUUGCCCCAAGUUCUUAAAUUUUGUUGCUCCAGGUCUUGUGCAUUCUGUGGUUGGCCCAGUCCAAUUUCUUUUACUUUGUGUCAACUAGAACACCUGUUCCGAUCAUUUAAUGUUAUGUCUGCCAUUCUUCGUUGCAUUGCGCUCUUCCUGUUACAAUAUCCUCCAAGCUUCAGCUCCAUAUGCUAGCACUGGCAAUAUGCAGUGACAGUAUGCUUUUUGCUUUGCUUCAGCCAUCAUUAUUUGGAGGAUUUCCUUUUCAUGUGUAUGCCUCGCCCAGUUAGUAAAUACCCUAGGUGUACACUCUCUUGUACAGACUCCAAGGUUUGGUUACCAAUUCUGAACUCGUUUGCCAUGCUCUGAAUGAUUUUUUUUUUAAACCUUAUUGUUACACUUGCUUGAGCUGGCCGAGAUAUUCUCUGUUAAUCAGUGUUCCCACUUCUAAGCACGACGUAACAACGUUGGACAGAUUGUAUCUCCUUGCCCAACUCCUUUUGCUUUUUGUGAAGGAGCAAGGUAGACGUUGGCCUAGGUAUACACUUUUCGAGUACCUCUUGGUGACUCUGUGCUUGCAAGACGUGUAUGUAUGUCAGAGAGUCAAGUAACUUUUUGUAGUCUUUGAAAGCCAUGCACUGGGUUGAUUGUCCUCUGCAGACUUCAUUGUUCUGAUUGUUUAUAUGGGUGUGAUCUAUCACAGCUCGUGAACAAGGCUCCCAUGAGGGGAGCCUUAUUCUGUGGUUAAUGUUACUCUUCUAAUUUUUAUGAUCUAUCGUAAAGUACUUCUUCCUGAAGCCAACUUGUUUUCUAAGUUGGUUCAAGUCUAGGGGGUCUCUUUAUCAUGUUUUUAACUACAUUUAAAUAUUUUAUGAAAUACUGAAAGUAAGCUGAUGGCUCUGUAAUUCUUUGUCUCCCUUCUGGGGCAUUAAUGUUGGCAUUUUUCCACCUCAAUGGUACAUUGAAGUUUUUCAAAAUGAGUGCAGAGCAAGUUUCUCUAGUGUAAAAUUCCCUCCACAUAAAGUUAUGCCUAAUGGCUUUUCUAACCUCAUCUGUAGUUUCAUAUGGAACUUUGUCUUGUUUCACAUUGCUUCCAUUUGAAGAUGGAUGACUUAUCUGUGAACAUUAUAGUUCUGAGUUGAGAGAGAGAGACAUAACUUUGUGUCCUUGCUGGGGUCAAGGGAGGCGGGGGCCGGGAGACUAGCCCUACCGGAGCCCCCCUUCCUCAAAAGGCAGCCAGACCUUGGGUCUUGGCAGUGUCUUCGGCCAGCCGGACUGCCCAGAGUUGGUCAUCUGGGCACGCGCUGAGCAGCUUUGUUAAAUGAGCUCGGCAAAGUCUUAUUUUCCAUUUCAAGUUUGUCACUUUCAUCAGUUUUUUUUUUUGUAUCUAAUUCAGUCGUGCUUUGAGAAAAAGGAGUUGCUUCUUGCCUUGCUGCCUCAGACAUCAGUCCCGUUACAAUUUUGUUCAUUUCCCUCUGUGGCUGUAUUCUUGCUCUAAAUGAUUGUUUUUCUCAAGGGUAAUUAUGAACAAGUCUCUUUUUAUGACUCAAAUGAUUAGACUUGUUUUUUAGCAGUUCAUUUUGCUUGUGUUCUCUGGUUGAGGGAUAUUCUUGACCUCACUAACCUAUGAUCACUAUGUUUUACAUAGCGUAUCAACUUAGUCCUGUAUUACGUGUGAACCUCUGCAUAAUACAAAACCUUGCACCUUUUGUUUCUCUGUUAUGGCGAUCUACGUCCACUCCCUGUGCUGUCAGGUGGUGUUCAUUAUACGAAGUUGAUUUCGUUAGGCUAAUUGCACUAACUUCUGUUCUGUUUGUAAAACUGAUGCAGCCUCCUGUGGCUGUGGUGUACUGGGUGUGCACCUUAUGCAUUGCUAAUUCAACAUUCUUGUUGAAUCAUUCUACAUCAUAGUCAUCAUGGCUGCACUUUCAAGUGUCCAUUUCCUAUUUCACGUACGAUUUGGUAUAUAAUGUCUAUGUGUGGAAUAGUUCACAUGUAUGUGCAAAAAAAAAAUUAACUGCAAUUGUUGACAAGUAAGCAGCAUCCAACAACCUGCGUAAAUGAUUUCACUUAGUCGUGUUUCAACAAUUAACAUGACUGAGGUAGUGGGUACUUAAUUUGAAGAAUCACAAGAAAAUGUGUAGAUGAGAAGCUGUGCUUUCAUAUUGUGACAUAUACAUUCUGCAUGGUUUGUGCAUUUAAAAACUAUCGAAAAAGGAGCAUUAAAAGCAACAAUCCUUAAGGUCGAGCAACUGUGAUUGUGUGGUUGACAUUCCUAUGUUGUUAUUACUGAAAGAUGGUGGCACCAGACAACUUGAGGAGCCCCCCCAAUUUUUGCACAGAUACGGUAUUUGAAUAAUUGCAUGCUGUUGAUCUGAUGAAUGCAUUCAAAAACAAUGCUAGCUGAAGCAGUGCUGAUGAAAUCGGUAAAAUCAUUUCUGAAUAUUGAUAUUCUAUUUAAGUGAUAUCUUAAAGGAUGCCAGAAAAUGAUUUCAUUAAUGUACAUAAAACAUUCUAGUUGUAUCAUUAGUAUGAAAUGUAGUAUAUAAUUAUAUGCUAUUGAAUCAAGAUCUCUUCAGCAGAGCAGAUGAUUGCAUAGACAUGCCCUUAAUGGUACGUAAAUUUCCAUGGGCGGAUAUUCGAGUAAUCAAGAUGUGGUGGAAAUCAAUACACCGAAAGAUGAAUACUCGUACACUAUGGAAACAAAAUAUUGCGGUACACAUAAAUAUGAAAUGUUGUGGUUGAAGUCGGUACAAUCAAAUAUCGAUGCACUAUUCAACCGAAAUGAUUCACUAUUCAACCGAAAAGAAAUUGAUUUCGUACUAGUAUAUAUGAAGUAGCACGGGUUGUGAUGUGUUUGCAGUAAUAAGAAAUUGCUUUCAUACAGGUACUGGUAUAUAAGAAGUAGCAUGGGUUGAGAUGUGUUUGAAAAAUAAAAAAAAAACUGGUUGAAAUGAUGCGGCGGAAAUGAGUAGCAUGAAAUGUGAAUAAUGAUGCGCUAUGAACAAAAACGUUGCAGUAAUAAGAUACUGAUUUCGUACAGGUAUAUAAAGAAAGUAGCAUGGGUCGAGAUGUGUUUGAAUAAUGAAAAGCUGGUUGAAAUGGUGUGGUUUAAAUGAGUAGAAUGAAAUGUCAAUAGUCAUGCUGUGUUGAACAAAGAUACUCCAGGAAUAAGAAAUUGGUUUCAUAAGAGGUGCAGGUAUAUAAAGAAGUAGCAUGGGUCGUGAUGUGUCUGAAUAAUGAAAAACUGGUUGAAGUGUGUAGAAAGAAUGUGAAUAAUUCGACAUUGAACCAAAAUAUUGCAUUAAUAGGAAAUCGAUUUCAUAGCAGUACUGGUAUUAAAGAAGUAGCAUGGGUCAAGAUGUGUUUGAAUAAUAAACUGGUUGAAAUAAGUAGCAUGAAAUAUGAAUAAUGAUGCGCUGCGCUAUGAAGAAAAACGUUGCAGUAAUAAGGUAUUCUUUCGUAUAGGUAUAUAAAAAAGUAGCAUGGGUUGAGAUGUGUUUGAAGAAUGAAAACCUUGAAAUGACAAUGAAAUGUGAAUAAUAAUGCUCUGCGCUAUGAACAAAAAUAUUGCAGCAGUAAGACAUUUGAUUUCGUACAGGUAUAUAAAGAAGUAGAAUGGGUCGACAUGUGUUUGAAUAAAACUGGUUGCAAUGAGUAGAAUGAAAUGUAAAUAAUGAUACGCUGUUAACAAAAAUAUUGUAGUAAUAAAUUGAUCUGUCCUGGUAUAUAAAGAAGUAGCAUGGGUCUAGAUGUGUUUGAAUAAUGAAAAACUGGUUGAAAUGAGUAAAAUGAAAUGCAAGUAAUGAUGUGCUGUGAACAAAAAUAUUGCAGCUAAAAAAUAAAUUCAUACAGGUACUGGUAUAUAAGGAAGUAGCAUGGGUAGAGAUCUGUUUGAAUAAUGAAAAACUGGUUGAAUUUAGUAGAAUGAUGUGUAGAUAAUGAUGUGCUAGGAACAAAAAUAUUGCAGUAAUAAGAAAUUGCUUUCAUACAGUUACUGGCAGAUAAACAAGUAGCAUAAGUUGAGAUGUGUUUCAAUAAUGAAAAAGUGGUUGAAGUGAGAAUGAAAUGUAAAUAAUGAUGCGCUGUGAACAAAAAUAUUGCAGUAAUAACAAAUUGAUUUCGUACUGGUAUAUAAAGUAGCAUGGGUCGAGAUGUGUUUGAACAAUGAAAGACUGGUUGAAAUGAGUACAAUUAAAUGUGAAUAAUGAUGCGCUAUGAACAAAAAUAUUGCAGUAAUGAGAAAUUGAUUUUGUACUGGUAUAUAAAGUAGCAUGGGUCGUGAUGUUUUUUGAAUAACGAAAAACUGGUUAAAAUAAGUAGAAAGAAAUGUGAAUAGUGGUGCACUAUGAACAAAUAUUGCAGUAAUAAGAAAUUGGUUUCAUACAGGUACUGGUAUAUAAAUUAGCAUGGGUUGUGAUUUUUUUUUUUUAAUGAAAAGCUGGUUGAAAUGGUGCGGUUUAAAUGAGUAGAAUGAAAUGUGAAUAAUGAUGCGGUAUUGAACCAAAAUAUAGCAGGAAUAAGAAAUCGAUUUCAUAAGAGGUGCAGGUAUAUAAAGAAGCAGCAUUGGUUGACGUGUUUGAAAAAUGAAAAACUGGUUGAAAUGAGUAGAAUGAAAUGUGAAUAACGAUGUGCUCAAUUAUUAAACAGAAAUAAUGCUGUAAUAAGAAAUUGAUUUUAUACAGGUACUGGUAUAUAAAGAAGUAGCAUGGGUCGAGAUGUGUUUGAACAAUGAAAAACUGGUUGCAAUGAGAAUGAAAUGUAAAUAAUGAUAUGCUGUGAACAAAAAUAUUGCAGUAAUAAGAAAUUGAUUUCAUCCUGGUAUAUAAGAAGUAGCAUGGGUCUAGAUGUGUGAAUAAUGAAAAACUGGUUGAAAUGAGUAGAAUAUGUAAAUAAUGAUGCGCUAUGAACAAAAAUAUUGCAGUGAAAAGAAAUUCAUUUCAUACAUGUGCUGGCAUAUAAAGAAAAGUAGCAUGGGUCCAGAUGUGUUUGAAUAAUGAAAAACUGAUUGAAAUGAGUAGAAUGAAGUGUGAAUAAUGAUACGCUGCACUAUGAACAAAAAUAUUGCAAUAAUAAGAUAUCGAUUUUGUACAGGUAUAUAAAGAAGUAGUAUGGGUCGACAUGUGUUUGAAUAAUAAAAAACUGGUUGAAACGAGUAGAAUGAAAUGUGAAUAGUAUUGCGCUAUGAACAAAAAUAUAUCAGUAAUAAGAAAUCGAUUUUAUAGCAGUACUGGUAUUGAAGAAGUAGCAUGGGUUGAGAUAUGUUUGAAUAACGGAAAACUGGUUGAAAUGAGUAGCAUGAAAUGUGAAUAAUGAUGCGCUAUGAAAAAAAUAUUGCAGUAAUAAGAUAUUGAUUUCAUACAGUUACUGGUAUAUAAAGAAGUAGCAUGGAUUGAGAUGUGUUUGAAUAAUGAAAAACUAGUUGAAAUGAGUAGAAUGAAAUGUGAAUAGUGGUGCCCUAUGAACAAAAAUAAUGCAAUAAUAAGUAAUUGAUUUGAUACAGGUACUGGUAUAUAAAGAUGCAGCAUGGGUCGUGAUCUGUUUAAAUAAUGAAAAACUGGUUGAAAUCUGUAGAAUGAAAUGUAAACAACAAUGUGCUGUGAACAAAAAUAUUGCAGUAAUAAGAAAUUGGAUUUCGUGCUGGUAUAUAAGGAAGUAGCAUGGGUCGAGAUGUGUUUGAAUAAUGAAAAACUGGUUGAAAUAAGUAGAAUGAUAUAUAAGUAAUGAUGCGCUGUGAACAAAAAUAUUGCAGCAAAAAAAUAAUUUCAUACAGGUACUGGUAUAUAAGGAAGUAGCAUGGGUAGAGAUGUGUUUGAAUAAUGAAAAACUGGUUGAAUUUAGUAGAAUGAAAUGUAAGUAAUGAUGCGCUGUGAACAAAAAUAUUGCACUAAUAACAAAUUGAUUUCGUACUGGUAUAUAAAGAAGUAGCAUGGGUCUAGAUGUGUUUGAAUAAUGAAAAACUGGUUGAAAUGAGUAGAAUGAAAUGUAAGCAAUAAUGCGCUGUGAACAAAAAUAUUGCAGUAAUAAGAAAUUUAUUUCGUCCUGGUAUAUAAGAAGUAGCAUGGGUCGAGAUGUGCUUGAAUAAUGAAAAAAAUUGGUUGAAAUGAGUAGAAUGAAAUGUAAGUAAUGAUGCGCUAUGAACAAAAAUAUUGCAGUAAUAAGAAAUUGCUCUUAUACAGUUACUGGUGUAUAAAGAAAUAGCAUGGGUUGAGAUGCGUUUGAAAAAUAAAAAACUGGUUGAAAUGAAUACAAUAAAAUGUGAAUAAUGAUGUGCUAUGAACAAAAAUAUUGCAGUAAAAAGGUACUGGUAUAUAAAGAAGUAACAUGGGUAGAGAUGUAUUUGAAUAAUGAAAAACUGGUUGAAAUGAUUACAAUGAAAUGUGAAUAAUGAUGCGCUAUGAAUAAAAAUAUUGCAGUAACAAAAAAAUAAUUUCACAGGUACAAAAACAAACGAGUAGCAUGAGUCGUGUUACGUUUGAAUAAUAAAAACCUGGUUGAAAUGUGAAUAAUCAUGGCUAUGAACUAAAAUAUUAGAUUAAUAAGAAAUUGCUUUCAUACAAGUACUGGUAUAUAAAGAAGUAGCAUGGGCAUACCUGCCAACUCUCCCGAAUUGUCCGGGAGACUCCCGAAUGUACGAAUGUCAUCUCGAAUCUCCCGAAAAGUGGCCACCACAGCAGAGGCAGGGUUUUUUCCUCUUUUCUUUUAAAUCAUGCGCGUACGUCAGCCUUUACAGCUGUGGCGGCGCUGUGGAAGAGCACUCGCCACCACACUUCUAUUUCAUUGUAACCAUAUACUUUAUAUCUACUUUACUUAAUCUACUUUAUAGACAUUUUAUGCUGGUAUACGAAAAGGUCGCAUGGAUUUAGAUGGUAUAUAUAAAAAUAGAAGCUUUUGAAGUGGUGUGAUGAAAAGGAUUUGAAUGAGAUACAAAUACUGAUGUGCCAUGUAACCAAGUUAUAGAAGUAUAGUGAAAAUUGUUUAUAUGGACGUGCUUACGGUGGUAUUCGAAGAACCUCCAUAUGUCGCGACACCGUAACGGCAUGGUUGAAAGGAGUUGCAUGAAAGACGUUUAAUGACACACUAUUGUAUGAGGAUAUCGAAGCAUGUAGGAACCUUAUUUCAUAGGUGUACUUUGGUGAUCAGUGAAGUAGCAUCGCUCGAGAUUGUCUAGACGUAAAGAAAGACUGUUGUUUAAAGGGUAUAUUUGAAAGCUGUCCAAUGAAAUAUGCAUAGCAAUAGUCUAUUGAAUCAAGGUAUCGAGGCAUGAUGGAAGUUCAUAUAGGCACAAUUACAACGGUACACAAAAAAAUGGGAUGAGUUGAGAUGUUAUAUAAUAAAAAAAAGGUUGAUAUGGUGUGAUCAAAGGGAGUUCAGUGAGAAACAAAGAAUGAUGUGUUAUUCAACGAAAUUAUGGAAGCAUGUUGAAAUUUGGUUUUGUAAAUGUGCUUUAUAUAAUGUUUGAAGAAGUAGCAUGGCUAGGUGAGGGAGAACUGUUCAAGCGGUAUGGUCUCACAUUUUCGGCCAGUGUACGAAGAGGUCGUAUGGAUUGAGAUUUUAUAUAUAAAAACGAAAGCUUUUGAAGUGGUGUGAUAAAAAGGAGUUGAAUGAGCUACAAAUAAUAAUAUGCCAAUUAACCAAGUUAUAGAAGAAUAGUGAAAAUUUAUACGAACGUAGUUACGGGUGGUAUUCAAAGAAGCUCCAUAUGUCGUGAUGGUAUGUAAAUAGAGUAAAAUGUUGGCCGUAAUAGUAUGGUUGAUAGGAGUUGAAUGAAAAACGUGUAAUGACACACUAUGGUGCGAGGAUAUCGAAGUAUGUUGAAAAUUUAUUUCAUAGGCGUAGUUUGGCUUCAAAACGAAGUAGCUUCGCUCAAGAUGGAUCUACAUGCAAAAAUAGACUUUUUAAACGGUAUAUUUAAAAGCUGUGAAUUUAUAUGUGCAUGGAAAUAGUCUUUUGAAUCAAGGUAUCGAGGCAUGAUGGAAUUUGAUAUAGGCGCACUUACAACGGUACACAAAGUAGCAUGGGCUGAGAUAUUAUAUAUAAAGACAUAAAACGGUCAAAACGGUGUGAUCAAAAGGAGUUGAAUGAGAUGAAAAUACUGGUGUGCCAUUUAACCAAGAUGUAUGUGAAAAGUUUUUACAAGGACGUACUUACAGUGGUAUUCGAAGAAGCUCCAUAUGUCGUGAUGGUAUGUAUAUAGAGUGAAACAUUGGCCGUAACGGUAUGGUUGAUAGGAGUUGAAUGAAAAACAUGUAAUGACACACUAUUGUACGAGCAUAUCGAAGGAUGUAGGAAAUUUAUUUCAUAGGCGUACUUUGGUGUUCAGUGAAGUAGCAUCGCUCGAGAUGGUCUAGACGUAAAGAAAGACUGUUGCUUAAAUGGUAUAUUUGAAACCUGUCAAAUGAAAUAUGCAUAGCAAUAGUCUAUUGAAUCAAGGUAUCGAGGCAUGAUGGAAGUUCAUAUAGGUGCAAUUACAACUGUACAUGAAUUUGCAUGGGUUGAGAUGCUAUACAUAAAAAAAAAUGUUGAAACGGAGUGAUCAAAGGGAGUUCAAUGAGAAACAAAUGAUGUGCUAUUCAACGAAAUUAUGGAUGCAUGUUGAAAUUUGGUUUUUGUAAAUGUGCUUUAUAUAGUGUUUGAAGAAGUAGCAUGGAUAGUGAUGGAAAACUGUUCAAGCGGUCUGGUCUGGAAAUGUUGAAUGAAAUAAUAAUGAUACGCUAUUAAACCAAUAUAUCGGAAGUAUGGUGGAAAUUACUUUAUAGACGUUUUAUGCUGGUAUACGAAAAGGUCGCAUGGAUUUAGAUGGUAUAUAUAAAAAUAGAAGCUUUUGAAGUGGUGUGAUGAAAAGGAGUUGAAUGAGAUACAAAUACUGAUGUGCCAUGUAACCAAGUUAUAGCAGUAUAGUGAAAAUUGUUUAUAUCGACAUGCUUACGGUGGUAUUCGAAGAACCUCCAUAUGUCGCGACACCGUAACGGCAUGGUUGAAAGGAGUUGCAUGAAAGACGUUUAAUGACACACUAUUGUACGAGGAUAUCGAAGCAUGUAGGAACCUUAUUUCAUAGGUGUACUUUGGUGUUCAGUGAAGUAGCAUCGCUCGAGAUUGUCUAGACGUAAAGAAAGACUGUUGUUUAAAUGGUAUAUUUGAAAGCUGUCCAAUGAAAUAUGCAUAGCAAUAGUCUAUUGAAUCAAGGUAUCGAGGUAUGAUGGAAGUUCAUAUAGGCACAAUUACAACGGUACACAAAGAAGUGGGAUGAGUUGAGAUGUUAUAUAAUAAAAAAAAAGGUUGAUAUGGUGUGAUCAAAGGGAGUUCAGUGAGAAACAAAGAAUGAUGUGUUAUUCAACGAAAUUAUGGAAGCAUGUUGAAAUUUGGUUUUGUAAAUGUGCUUUAUAUAAUGUUUGAAGAAGUAGCAUGGCUAGGUGAGGGAGAACUGUUCAAGCGGUAUGGUCUCACAUUUUCGGCCAGUGUACGAAGAGGUCGUAUGGAUUGAGAUUUUAUAUAUAAAAACGAAAGCUUUUGAAGUGGUGUGAUAAAAAGGAGUUGAAUGAGCUACAAAUAAUAAUAUGCCAAUUAACCAAGUUAUAGAAGAAUAGUGAAAAUUUAUACGAACGUAGUUACGGGUGGUAUUCAAAGAAGCUCCAUAUGUCGUGAUGGUAUGUAAAUAGAGUAAAAUGUUGGCCGUAAUAGUAUGGUUGAUAGGAGUUGAAUGAAAAACGUGUAAUGACACACUAUGGUACGAGGAUAUCGAAGUAUGUUGAAAAUUUAUUUCAUAGGCGUAGUUUGGCUUCAAAACGAAGUAGCUUCGCUCAAGAUGGAUCUACAUGCAAAAAUAGACUUUUUAAACGGUAUAUUUAAAAGCUGUGAAUUUAUAUGUGCAUGGAAAUAGUCUUUUGAAUCAAGGUAUCGAGGCAUGAUGGAAUUUGAUAUAGGCGCACUUACAACGGUACACAAAGUAGCAUGGGCUGAGAUAUUAUAUAUAAAGACAUAAAACGGUCAAAACGGUGUGAUCAAAAGGAGUUGAAUGAGAUGAAAAUACUGGUGUGCCAUUUAACCAAGAUGUAUGUGAAAAGUUUUUACAAGGACGUACUUACAGUGGUAUUCGAAGAAGCUCCACAUGUCGUGAUGGUAUGUAUAUAGAGUGAAACAUUGGCCGUAACGGUAUGGUUGAUAGGAGUUGAAUGAAAAACAUGUAAUGACACACUAUUGUACGAGCAUAUCGAAGGAUGUAGGAAAUUUAUUUCAUAGGCGUACUUUGGUGUUCAGUGAAGUAGCAUCGCUCGAGAUGGUCUAGACGUAAAGAAAGACUGUUGCUUAAAUGGUAUAUUUGAAACCUGUCAAAUGAAAUAUGCAUAGCAAUAGUCUAUUGAAUCAAGGUAUCGAGGCAUGAUGGAAGUUCAUAUAGGUGCAAUUACAACUGUACAUGAAUUUGCAUGGGUUGAGAUGCUAUACAUAAAAAAAAGUGUUGAAACGGAGUGAUCAAAGGGAGUUCAAUGAGAAACAAAUGAUGUGCUAUUCAACGAAAUUAUGGAUGCAUGUUGAAAUUUGGUUUUUGUAAAUGUGCUUUAUAUAGUGUUUGAAGAAGUAGUAUGGAUAGUGAUGGAAAACUGUUCAAGCGGUCUGGUCUGGAAAUGUUGAAUGAAAUAAUAAUGAUACGCUAUUAAACCAAUAUAUCGGAAGUAUGGUGGAAAUUACUUUAUAGACGUUUUAUGCUGGUAUACGAAAAGGUCGCAUGGAUUUAGAUGGUAUAUAUAAAAAUAGAAGCUUUUGAAGUGGUGUGAUGAAAAGGAGUUGAAUGAGAUACAAAUACUGAUGUGCCACGUAACCAAGUUAUAGAAGUAUAGUGAAAAUUGUUUAUAUGGACGUGCUUACGGUGGUAUACGAAGAACCUCCAUAUGUCGCGACACCGUAACGGCAUGGUUGAAAGGAGUUGCAUGAAAGACGUUUAAUGACACACUAUUGUACGAGGAUAUCGAAGCAUGUAGGAACCUUAUUUCAUAGGUGUACUUUGGUGUUCAGUGAAGUAGCAUCGCUCGAGAUUGUCUAGACGUAAAGAAAGACUGUUGUUUAAAUGGUAUAUUUGAAAGCUGUCCAAUGAAAUAUGCAUAGCAAUAGUCUAUUGAAUCAAGGUAUCGAGGCAUGAUGGAAGUUC